rnacentral:rRNA from 1 species
GAUGAACGCUGGCGGCGUGCCUAAUACAUGCAAGUCGAGCGAACGGACGAGAAGCUUGCUUCUCUGAUGUUAGCGGCGGACGGGUGAGUAACACGUGGAUAACCUACCUAUAAGACUGGGAUAACUUCAGGAAACCGUAGCUAAUACCGGAUAAUAUUUUGAACCGCAUGGUUCAAAAGUGAAAGACGGUCUUGCUGUCACUUAUAGAUGGAUCCGCGCUGCAUUAUCUAGUUGGUAAGGUAACGGCUUACCAAGGCAACGAUGCAUAGCCGACCUGAGAGGCGGGUCGCCCACAUGAGAGCGGGAACCGGCACCGGCCCCCUGCGGGAGGGCCCAGACGGGUACCUUCGGCAGGGGGGGAGAACAUGGCGGAACAGGCCGGAGGGUGUGGCAGAGGCGUUGGGUGCUUAAACCCUGUUUUUGGGGGAAAAACAUAUGUUGAAUGAAACGAACCCUGAGUGACGGUACUGAAUAAAAAAGCACCGGCUAACUACGUG